GCGUUGGAUUGGUGGGCGCUUGUGUGUUCAGCCUUUAUGGUGCAUUGGCACAAGUGCUUAUCCGCUGUGGGUUCUCGGGGGUCGAUUUUGGAUCCCUGGGGACUGAGGGCUCCCUUUUUUGGUGAGGACAGCGGAGUGACGACGCGAUACGACCCGUCUUGAAACACGGACCAAGGAGUCUAGCGCGGGUGCGAGUCAGAGGGUGCAAGCCCGUGGGCGAAGUGAAAGCGAGUGUAAAAACUAGCAGUUUGGGGCGGCAUAAGAUCGUUGAUCUCAAGACCGACCCAGAGCAGUUGCGCUGGGACCCGAAAGAUGGUGAACUAUGCCGGAGUAGGGCAAAGCCAGAGGAAACUCUGGUGGAGGCUCGUAGCGGUGCUGACGUGCAAAUCGCUCGUCGAACUUGGGUAUAGGGGCGAAAGACUAAUCGAACCAUCUAGUAGCUGGUUCCCUCCGAAGUUUCUCUCAGGAUAGCGGGCCGACAAGUUGUUUUGUGCGGUAAAGCGAAUGAUUAGCGCAAUCGGGGGCGUUUAGCCUUCGGGCGAUUCUCAAACUUUCAAUGCGCAAGGGUGCCGCUGCUUAAUUGAGCGGUACCGAUAAAAACGUCGGCCCUGUGGGCCACUUUUGGUAAGCAGAACUGGCGAUACGGGAUGAACCGUAAGCAAGGUUAAGGCGCCAAACUGCCCGCUUAUAGACCCCACAAAAGGUGUUGAUUCAUCGAGACAGCAGGACGGUGGCCAUGGAAGUCGGAAUCCGCCAAGGAGUGUGUAACAACUCACCUGCCGAAUGAAUUAGCCCUGAAAAUGGAUGGCGCUGAAGCGGGCGGCCGACACCUUGCCGUCUGGACAAGAAUUUCAGAUGAGUAGGAGGGCGUGGCGGCCGUGUCGAAGCGCGCGUGCAGACGCGUGUGGAACGGCCGCUAGUGCAGAUCUUGGUGGUAGUAGCAAGUAUUCAAGCGAGAUCCUUGAAGGGCGAAGUGGGGAAGGGUUUCACGCGAACAUUGAUUGGGCGUGAGUGAGUCGUUCCUAAGCCGAGUGGCAAUUGCUAAUUAACGGCGAAAGGGAAGCGGGUUGACAUUCCCGCACACGGAUGUGGAGGCGGCGACGCAUUAUUGGGGCGAACACGCUGGCGAUGGCGCUGGGCAGAGUUGUCUUUUCUGUUUGACCGCUUGCGCACGCAGUGUGGAAUCCGCUUGUCGGGAGAAACACGCGUGUACGGGCAGAGCGCUGGGGCUUUUCCAGCGUCCAGCUCGCCAUCGACGGCCCUUGAAACUUUGCCUGCUGAUUUAAGAUCCACGCCGUGGCGUACCGAUCACCGCAUCAGGUCCCCAAGGUGAACAGCCUCUGCUCAAUAUGAAAAAUGCAGGUAAGGGAAGUCGGCAAAUUAGACCCGUAACUUUGGGAAAAGGGUUGGCUCUAGUGCUGCGUGGGAGUGGUUGUCGGUUGUUGGCGUUUCUGGUGUGGCGGCUUGGCGCGGGGCCCUUUUUGGGACCUGUUCCUGCUGCUACGCUGGUGGCGGCGCGGCCGACGACGCCCACAGCAUGCAGCAGACUAGAACUGCAACGGGCAAAGGGAAUCCGACUGUUUAAUUAAAACAAAGCAUUGCGAGGGCCG
rnacentral:rRNA from 1 species